rnacentral:rRNA from 1 species
GAUGAACGCUAGCGGCAGGCUUAAUACAUGCAAGUCGUGGGGCAGCAGGUUUGUAGCAAUACAGAUGCUGGCGACCGGCAAACGGGUGCGGAACACGUACAGAACCUUCCUUUGAGCGGGGAAUAGCCCAGAGAAAUUUGGAUUAAUACCCCAUAGUAUAAUGAAGUGGCAUCACUUUAUUAUUAAAGAUUUAUCACUCGAAGAUGGCUGUGCGGCUGAUUAGGUAGUUGGCGGGGUAAAGGCCCACCAAGCCUGCGAUCAGUAACUGGUGUGAGAGCACGACCAGUCACACGGGCACUGAGACACGGGCCCGACUCCUACGGGAGGCAGCAGUAAGGAAUAUUGGUCAAUGGAGGCAACUCUGAACCAGCCAUGCCGCGUGGAGGAUGAAGGUCCUCUGGAUUGUAAACUUCUUUUAUAUGGGACGAAAAAAGGCUUUACUAAGUCGUCUGACGGUACCAUAUGAAUAAGCACCGGCUAACUCCGUGCCAGCAGCCG